CUUUGGGCAUUUGACGGGUUGAUCUUCAUCCGGCGGCUCAAUCGGAUGCUCAACCGGCCAGAAAUCAGUGUUGCAUUCAACCCCAUUUUGGCACAAAUCCAUACUUCCCCUGUUUUUUGUCUCUCUGCUCUCAUCUACUACCACUAAAAUUAGGGUUUCCUUCUCAUCCUACCAAUUCAGAAACAAAGAAACAACAAAAAACCCCUACCUAAGAACACAAUUUUUUUGUGGUAUUAUUUGCACAAAGUGGCUGUCCUCAAGUUUGAACCGACAACCUCAAGAUUGAUAUGCUGAGUUUGAACUACUGAACGAUUUAAUGUUGUUCACUUUGCUGAAAUUAACUGGACGAAUUCCAAUUGAUCUGUGUAUUGUUGAGUAGAUCUCAAAACAAGGUUACGUUUCUUUGUUUGAUUGUUUUUAAUACAUUUCAUUUUUGGUGAGCAUGGCUUCCCUCAUUUGCUUGAUAAUCUUGAGCAGUUGUUUUUGCUGAAUUCAUUAUUGUCUUUUAUUGAAGAUGCCUGUCUCUCUCCAUAUACCAAUUUUAACUUUUUUGGUUUGUUUCAGUACAAGGAAAACCAUCCAAGGCAGUUCUCGACUCAUUGGCUUUAUUUGGGGCGGGAGCUAUGCUAGGCGAUGCUUUUCUUCAUCAAUUGCCACAUGCUCUUGGUGGUGAACACUCCCAUUCACACGAUCAUGAUGUGGACCAUGCUCAUUCUCAUGUUCAUUUUGGACAAGAGCAUUCACAUCCCCUUAAACAUGCACUUCCUUAAAAGAUCUUUCUGUUGGUUUGUCCGUUUUGGG